rnacentral:rRNA from 1 species
GAUGAACGCUGGCGGCGUGCCUAAUACAUGCAAGUCGAGCGAACAGAUAAGGAGCUUGCUCCUUUGACGUUAGCGGCGGACGGGUGAGUAACACGUGGGUAACCUACCUAUAAGACUGGAAUAACUCCGGGAAACCGGGGCUAAUGCCGGAUAACAUGUUGAACCGCAUGGUUCUACAGUGAAAGACGGUCUUGCUGUCACUUAUAGAUGGACCCGCGCCGUAUUAGCUAGUUGGUGGGGUAACGGCCUACCAAGGCGACGAUACGUAGCCGACCUGAGAGGGUGAUCGGCCACACUGGAACUGAGACACGGUCCAGACUCCUACGGGAGGCAGCAGUAGGGAAUCUUCCGCAAUGGGCGAAAGCCUGACGGAGCAACGCCGCGUGAGUGAUGAAGGUCUUCGGAUCGUAAAGCUCUGUUGUUAGGGAAGAACAAAUGUGUAAGUAACUGUGCACAUCUUGACGGUACCUAACCAGAAAGCCACGGCUAACUACGUGCCAGCAGCCGCGGUAAUACGUAGGUGGCAAGCGUUAUCCGGAAUUAUUGGGCGUAAAGCGCGCGUAGGCGGUUUUUUAAGUCUGAUGUGAAAGCCCACGGCUCAACCGUGGAGGGUCAUUGGAAACUGGAAAACUUGAGUGCAGAAGAGGAAAGUGGAAUUCCAUGUGUAGCGGUGAAAUGCGCAGAGAUAUGGAGGAACACCAGUGGCGAAGGCGGCUUUCUGGUCUGCAACUGACGCUGAUGUGCGAAAGCGUGGGGAUCAAACAGGAUUAGAUACCCUGGUAGUCCACGCCGUAAACGAUGA